rnacentral:rRNA from 1 species
GUUUAGAGCCACGCCACCCUGAACAAGCUUGAUCUCUUCUGAUCUCGGAAGCUAAGCAGGAUUGGGCCUGGUUAUUACUUGGAUGGGAGACCACCUAGGAAGACAGGGUACUGUAGGCG